rfam:Carnobacterium divergens DSM 20623 NODE_90, whole genome shotgun sequence.
UAAAUGACUUUGAAUAGAACAGAAAAAUGAUAACAAUACUUUUAGCGAGCUAGUGAAUGGUGAAAGACUAGCAAGUCCCUGUUAUGAUUAGAUCCUCUAGGAGUCAAUUAGCUGAAACUAAGUAAGCUAAUUCGUUUGAUUGGCGUUAACAAUUACUUGAGGAGAAAAAGAAAUUUUUCUUAAACUUGGGUGGUAACACGAAGACUUCGUCCCUACU